rnacentral:rRNA from 1 species
GGAUGCGAUCAUACCAGCACUAAUGCACCGGAUCCCAUCAGAACUCCGAAGUCAAGCGUGCUUGGGCGGGAGUAGUACUAGGAUGGGUGACCCCCUGGGAAGUCCUCGUGUUGCAUCCCCCA